ACCACGAGAUCAUGAGCCGAGCCGAAGUUGGGACGCUUGACCGACUGAGCUGUCCAGGCGCCCCUGUUGACACGUUACUAUUAAGUGACACCCAUUUUUGGUGUUGGACACUGUGGGUUUGGAUGAAUGGACGAUGACCGGUUUCCACCAUUGCAGCGUCACAGAGUAGUGUCACUGUCCUGCCUAUUCAGCCUCUCCUCUCCCCCAGCCCCAGAUAACUGUGUUUUGUUUUUUUUUUUUUUAACACAGUUCUGCCUUUUCCAGAAUGUCAUGUAGUUGGACCGCUACAGUGUAGCCUUUUCUCGCCGGCGUCUUUCACUUGGUAACACGCAUUUGAGCUUCCUGUGUGGCUUCCCGUGGCUUGAUGGAGCAUUUCUUUUUAGCUGAACACUAUUCCAUUGUGGGGACCGACCACAGUUAGCGUACCCGUCGCCUGCUGAAGGACGUCGUGGUUGCUCCCAGACCCCUGCCUUUCUGCGGGCGGGCAGUACUCGAACAGUGCCCUCCCUGCCCCCUUGGCCCAUGCCUGCCAGGGGGCCACCCCUCGGAACUACAACGUCUCCAGGCUGUCCUGGGCCCCGGUCACCCUUACCCCGGCCUGGCGCCGGGCAGGUCUACUCCAAGGUCUCAGCUAGUGUCAACUGGCCACAGGGGUCUUGCCCAAAGAUGGCAGGCCUGGCACCCAGAGGGCAAAUAUGUCCACACUCUGGCUGGUAGACCCCGGCCACCUCCUCCAGGAAGCCCUGCUCCUCAGAGUUCUGUUGUUAAAGUUUCCCCCCAAAUUCAUGUCCACCCAGAACCUCACAAUGUGACCUUAUUUGUAAAUAGGGUCUCUGUAUAUGUAAUUAGGGACAUAUUUGGAGACGAGGCCAUCCUGCAUUAUAAGUGCCCUGGAUCCAAUGACAAGUGUCCUUAGAAGAAGAGGAGAGACACAGACACAGAGGAGAAGCCACGUGAAAACGGAGGCGGAGACUGGAGCCCCCAGAAGCUGGAAGAGGCAGGAGGGAGCCUCCCCUCGAGCCCCUCGGGGUGAAGGGCUUGGCCCUGCCCCCCUGGAUCUCUGACUUUGGGUCUCCAGACUGUGAGCGGCUGGGUUUCUGUUCCCUGAGCCACCAGUUUGUGAUAAGGUGAGGCGAAUCAAAAGGAACACAUCUCCUCUGAUUUGUUCACACCAGUCAACUUUUCCAUCAAUAAAAAAGCCCAUUUUGCUCAUCCGAUGCCAACGGAAUGCGAUCUUUUCUAAGAUGUCAGGAUUCAGUGACUCAUUCCCUUAUUUCAUCCCAUUUACGUCUGAGAGUCAAACGGCAUCUGGAGACAGAAUUCUUCAUUAGAGAA